AUUGAACGCUGGCGGCAGGCCUAACACAUGCAAGUCGAGCGGGGUUUUCGGACCUAGCGGCGGACGGGUGAGUAAUGCGUAGGAAGCUACCCGAUAGAGGGGGAUACCAGUUGGAAACGACUGUUAAUACCGCAUAAUGUCUACGGACCAAAGUGUGGGACCUUCGGGCCACAUGCUAUCGGAUGCGCCUACGUGGGAUUAGCUAGUUGGUGAGGUAAUAGCUCACCAAGGCGACGAUCCCUAGCGGGUUUGAGAGGAUGAUCAGCCACCUUGGAACUAGGACACAGUCCAGACUCCUACGGGAGGCAGCAUUGGGGAAUAUUGGACAAUGGGCGCAAGCCUGAUCCAGCCAUGCCGCGUGUGUGAAGAAGGCCUUCGGGUUGUAAAGCACUUUCAGUUGGGAGGAAGGGUUGUGUGUUAAUAGUACACAGCCUUGACGUUACCAACAGAAGAAGCACCGGCUAACUCUGUGCCAGCCGCCGCCGUAACAC
rnacentral:rRNA from 1 species